rnacentral:rRNA from 1 species
UGGGGAAUUUUGGACAAUGGGCGAAAGCCUGAUCCAGCAAUGCCGCGUGUGUGAAGAAGGCCUUCGGGUUGUAAAGCACUUUUGUCCGGAAAGAAAUCCUUGGCUCUAAUACAGUCGGGGGAUGACGGUACCGGAAGAAUAAGCACCGGCUAACUACGUGCCAGCAGCCGCGGUAAUACGUAGGGUGCAAGCGUUAAUCGGAAUUACUGGGCGUAAAGCGUGCGCAGGCGGUUUGCUAAGACCGAUGUGAAAUCCCCGGGCUCAACCUGGGAACUGCAUUGGUGACUGGCAGGCUAGAGUAUGGCAGGAGGGGGGUAGAAUUCCACGUGUAGCAGUGAAAUGCGUAGAGAUGUGGAGGAAUACCGAUGGCGAAGGCAGCCCCCUGGGCCAAUACUGACGCUCAUGCACGAAAGCGUGGGGAGCAAACAGGAUUAGAUACCCUGGUAGUCCACGCCCUAAACGAUGUCAACUAGGUUGUUGGGGAUUCAUUUCCUUAGUAACGUAGCUAACGCGUGAAGUUGACC